UGCAAGUGGUAGGAAGCCGAAGGUGACCGACCCUUCGGGGAGCUUGCACAGGUGCUGCAUUGGCUGUCGUUCAGCUCGUGUCGUGAGAUGUUCGGUUAAGUCCGCUAACGAGCGCAACCCUCGCUGUGUGUUAUAUGUGUCACACGGGACUGCCGGUCUUAAGCCGGAGGAAGGUGGGGAUGAUGUCAAGUCAGCAUGGCCUUUAUAUCCUGGGCUACACACACGCUACAAUGGGAAGGGACAAUAGGUUGCGAAGCCGCGAGGCGGAGCCAAUCCAGCAAAACUUCCCUCAGUUCAGAUUGCAGGCUGCAACUCGCCUGCAUGAAGUUGGAGUUGCUAGUAAACGCAGGUCAGCCAUACUGCGUUGAAUACGUUCCCGGGGCUU
rnacentral:rRNA from 1 species